GAUAAACGCUGGCGGCGUGCAUAACACAUGCAAGUCGAACGAUGAAGAUUAAAAGAUUUCUUCGGAAUGAACUUAAUUGGAUUAGUGGCGGACGGGUGAGUAACGCGUGAGUAACCUGCCUUGUACAAGGGGAUAGCCGUUGGAAACGACGAAUAAUACCCUAUGACAUCAAAUAAUCGCAUGAUAAUUUGAUCAAAGAUUUAUCGGUAUAAGAUGGACUCGCGUCUGAUUAGCUAGUUGGUAGAGUAAAAGCCUACCAAGGCAACGAUCAGUAGCCGGCUUGAGAGAGUGUACGGCCACAUUGGGACUGAGACACGGCCCAGACUCCUACGGGAGGCAGCAGUGGGGAAUUUUGCACAAUGGGGGAAACCCUGAUGCAGCGACGCCGCGUGAUUUAGAAGGCCUUCGGGUUGUAAAAAUCUUUUGUAUGGGAAGAAAAUGACAGUACCAUACGAAUAAGGAUCGGCUAAUUACGUG
rnacentral:rRNA from 1 species